rnacentral:piRNA from 1 species
UGCGAUGUGUGCUUUGGAUACUGUACCAGAA